AAUGCCUUAGAGUUGUUUUUAGGCAGUUUUGAGUCUUGUGACUUUGUUGUGAGUUUUGUUAAGUGUUUUUAAGUUUAUUUUUGUGUUUCUAAGUCAGUUUAGAGAUUUUAGCAAGCCCUCCUAAUCCCCGGUCCAGAACGAUCCCUACUUAUACAUAUACUACAAUUGUCAACAAGAGGGUUAAUUUGUGUGUUUAGUUAUUUUACGCAUCACCAACACCCCAAGCCCCGUUACAACCUUUGACUUCAUGCUUGAGUGUUAUGUGUUUCAAUUUGUGGAGUUUGAAUUUGGUAUGAGCAUAUGGUGUCACUGGUUCUCACAUCUAAGUAGUAGCAUUCCAUUCAUGAGAUCAUAUCUAAACAUGCUUUUUAACUCCAGAAACUGCGUUCUUUGUGAUACAUAUAUGUGAGUGUUCGUUUUCAUAUCUACAUCAAUCUUCUCACAUAUGACUAGUAUAGGGUGUGUAGUUAGAAAAUCUGAGUGAAAAUUGACUGCAUAUCUUGUAAGGAAUUGAGUGAAUUUUCUAAGGCAUGUUACUACAUCAAAAACAUUGUUUUAAUUGGUUAAUUGUGAACUAGUAAGUGGUAACUAUGAUUAAGUAUGUGCUCAAGUGUAAAGAUGACUCAAAUCUGUGGGGAUGAUGAUUUUUAACAUGUCAUGUGCAUUGGAAAUCCCUGAGGCAAAUGUUGGAAGGUUUAGGUUGUGUUUUAUUUGUUUUGUUUCGUUUUAUUUCUUUGUUUUGCUCGAGGACUAGCAAAAGUUAAGUGUGAGGGAAUUUGAUAGGAGCAUAUUUAUGCGACUUAAUUGGCUUAUUCUCGUGCUUUUACGUUGUGUUUCUUUAGUUAUUUUAGUGUUUAAAGUCACUUUUGUGUGUUUUCAGGUUUUAAGGUCAAUGGAUGCAAGAAGAUGCAUUUUGGAGCCUUUUGAAGCAAAAUUGAGCUUGGAACGGUGAUCACAUGCUUGAAGCAAAAGGAAUGGAUGAAUUGAAGACUUGAAGGAAAUUAGGAUUCCUAAUCAACCAAGGAUUCCUACUCCAAGAAGGAUUCCUACUUGAAAUAGGAAAGUUAAGCCAAGGUUUCCUACUUUGGUUUG
rnacentral:lncRNA from 1 species